CUCUACGCCUGGCCGGGCUCCUCUUGGAUCCCGAACCGUCUUGGCUCUCGCUGCCCUGCAGAGCUCGACCCUGCGCCUUGCAGAAGCCAGCACACCUACCUAGAGGUGGUCACAGCCCCGAAAGUCCCCUGGAUGUGUUCUCAUUAUAUCUGGGCAAAAAAGAGUGCGUGCCGUUGCUUCACCAAGGUGGCUCAGUUUCCUGCGGCUGCCACCCGCCCAGUCCCACCUCUACCAAAAAAUACCACACCCUGACUGCAGUGAUGGACUGAACCUUGGGAGCGUGCUUCCCCCAAAGAUGGGGCUCUCACUGUUGGGAGGAUCUCAGGGGAACCUGUUGCAGCCAGACGGCUCUGUUACAUGGGGUGAGCUGGUGGAUGGGCUGUAGGGCCUCUGUAUGGGAUCAGAAGCAUUCCUGCGUGGGUCUGCUGCCUGGCCAGCAUCUGGUGACAUGCCUCAGUGCCUCACAUGGCAGUUGUCUCGUUAUCUUUUAAGCCAAAUUGUGGCAUGCUUGAUAUCUAUGACCAUGGGACUGCAAAGCAACCUGUGAACUGAGAAGUAUGUAAACGCUUGUAUGAGUGCAUUGCAGUGUGUGCACCAUACUGAUGUGUGCACCUGAUUCCAUCUUCCCUGACCAGAGGCUGGAAAAUGCUCGGAAGGUUCCUGCUUUCCUGACAUUUCUUUGUAAAACAGUUCAGUGUCUAGAUUCAGCAAGAUCUGGUUUUAUGCUUAAGUUCUUAAGUUACAGUUAAAACUGAUAGAGUUGUCCAUGAACUACUGGGUGACUGAGGCCGUCUGAGUCUCGGUGUGGUUUUGUUUCAGUGCCUGUCUGCUACUCUCUCAGCUCACUGUAACACCAGCUUGCACUGUACUCCCUAGCAGCAUAAUGCAGCUCCUGCUCUGUCAGUCCUUUGUUGCUUGCAGAAGGAAAAGCCCUCAUCAGCUUUGCACAGCAAGGCAGAUUUGUAGCCAGUGAAUAUUGCGAAGAGUUGCUUUGGAGUUACUCGUAAGUAUAGAAUGUUUGAACCGGGUCCUCUCAUGUCUGAGGCAAUUCAUGUCAUGAGAUUUCUCCUCGGGGCCUGAGUAAGGCUGGGUUCUGUUUGCUUACCUUGGGAGCUGUUACAGCCUGGGAAAAUAGCAGUCAGGUUACAUGGCUUUGUGGGAGUGUUGCCAUGAUACUGACUUUCUUGCUUUUUAAAAAGAAGCAAAGUGUGUGCCAACUUCUCAUUUCUUCAAGCUUUGAUGUUCUUGUAAGGACUACUUCAGUAGUUUGUCUUUCUUCCUCAGCAUGCCGUCUGCUCAGUUGUGUAAUAGAUUUGAGGCCCAGAAGAGAUGAUUAGCUCAUUUAGCAUGGUCUUUGUAUAACACAGGAAUAGAGGAUAGUCUUCUGCAAGGCACCUUCUAGCAGUGAGGCUUUCCAGCAGUUGCUCUGUUGUUCAGCCAUCACCGCUCUGGAGUCCAGCUGCCAGUCUUGGAGCUUUCCAAUCUGCCUUUUGGAAACAAAUUGUGAUAGGUAAAUUCCCAGAUUUUUGCAAGUUCAUUGGAAAUUGUUUGGCAUCACAGACUGUCCUGGAGACAUUACCAACAUUUCUCUUCAAACCUGGCUGGCAGGGCUUUUAUUUCAUGUUUGGAGCCUGGACAGAAGAGGCAGAAAGCUGAGUUCUGUCUGCAUAAUGCUGACUUAACCUUUAUAGCUGGUAAAAAGUGUUGUUCUAAAAAUCAGUCAAAACUCACAAAGAAAUCACACUUCCCAUUCUCAGAGCCCUUGCUGUAGUUAUUGCUGUGUAAGUGCAGCAAGCUGGAUGACUUUUCAGAUGGUUUUCGCCGUGGGCUACUGGUGAGGCAUAACUGUGGAAUCAAGGGUGGCACCAGCGCAUACCCCACACAGUCACAUGUAGCAAGGGCCUGCAGGACUGUGCGGAUGACUCAAGGCUGAUUUAUGUGUUUUUCAUUAUCCUUCCUUAUGGAUGCAGCUGCCAAGUCUGCUCAGCGCUGUUCAGCUGGGAAGCUAAUAAGCUCAGUGCCAUCUAAAUCCAUUGAGAAUCCACACACUGUUGUAAGCAGUUACAAAUGAAAGAGGAUUUUUGUUUUCUGUCUGCCUGAAGUACUUCCAGGUUACAGGGCUUUUCCCCAGCUGCUAAGGCACCAGGAUCUACUGAUUCAACAUUCUUGUGUACUGACUUGACGAAUCUACUUUAACACACUGCACUUGUUUAAUCUUUUCUCUGAAAUUUUCAGCUACUUUGUAUGUGUUUUUCAGUCAGCUUUGAGGCAGUUGUUUUGACUCAGUCACUUUCUAUUAGGUUAUGUGUAUCCCAAACAAGGGACCAUGACGCUCUUAUAUAAACUGGGUUUUAUACAUUUGUCACACUGCCUGGAAUUUGUAGAAUGAACCCAGGUGUCUGCUUCCUGCAUUUUCUGCCUUCUAGGCACUUGCAGGACCCUCAGUGGAGUGCUUGCUCUGUUUCAUUUCCAUUGCUAUGGCUUUCACUGAAAGGCUUCCACCACAGAAAGGCUGUUCAUUCCAGUUAAUGAAUCCUGGUACAGAUCAGAAGUGAAUAUUGAUCACAGUUUCUAUUCAUGCUGUGCUUAAUAUGCAGGUCCCCAUUCAGUCUGUGCAAGCCAUCCCAACAAUAAUCUUCUGUUUUGGGACUAGCAAGGUUAUGUUUCUGUUAUCUGUGGCUGUUUGGGUUGUACAGACCAACCUCGGGGAGCCAGCUCAGCACACUCAAUGUAUGACAGCAAAGUCCUAGAAGAGCCCAUGGCCAGACCCAGGAUUUCUGUCCCACCCCUUCAGUCACUGUUUUGUGGAGUACAGACGGCAAAUGGCAGCUGAGGGGACAGUUAUGGGCAGUGACAGGGAUGUCAAGGUGGCCUAUCUGUGCAGUAGUGCUUGCAUCUGGGUGGUCUGUCAUUAAAAUAUACUAUUUAUAGUCCACAUUGUUAAUAAUUCACAAUCAUUGUUUGUUUUGAGUUGUCUCUUUGGGUAGGAGAAAGUUCAGCGUUAGUUUGUAGAAGGAGGAGAGAAGGUGAAAGAAAAAAUCUGAAUAAAGAGGGCAGGGGGCUGAAGAGGAAAAGGGAUUGCGGCAGAGAGAACGAUUUAACACAUCCUAUUGCAGCCAGGGAGAAAUUGGAAAGCGCAAAAUACAGAAAAAAAUCCAUGGUUUCAUCCAACAGAGAGAGUUUCUUUGCGUUUUGAAAUCUCUACAGUACAUUUCAGAUGAGAUAACAAGGGUGCAGAGAUCCCUAUGAAGAUUGUGGCUGAGUUGCCUCAGGUGGAUGUCAUUCCUUGCUCAUUGCUAUGGGACACUUUGAUACUCAGCAAGGAUGCACACAUGUCACGUCGGUUUGUUUUGGAUACAAAUAUAUAUAACAAAUACAGCAAAAGUAUUUUCUAGAACAUAAUUCAACCUUUAGUUUUAAACAUGUUUUUGGGAUAUGCCGGUGCUGACGGCUGUGAUGCAGUCUGAUGCAAAGGAAUCAAUCGCGCGCUUUGUGGCACGCGGCAGUGAGUGAUGCAGGACCCGUCGGUGAUGGCGGCCCCGUGCCUGGGGGUGAGGCAGCCCGGCUCGGAGCCUCUCCGCCCCCCGCCUCGCUUU